rnacentral:rRNA from 1 species
GACGAACGCUGGCGGCGUGCCUAAUACAUGCAAGUAGAACGCAGUUGCGAACGGGUGAGUAACGCGUAGGUAACUGCCUCAUCGCGGGGGAUAACUAUUGGAAACGAUAGCUAAUACCGCAUACUGUGAGAUGGACCUUCGUUGUAUUAGCUAGUUGGUAAGGUAAGGGCUCACCAAGGCGACGAUACAGAGCCGACCUUAGAGGGUGAUCGGCCAAGCUGGGACUAAGGCGCGGCCCAGACUCCUACGGGAGGAAGCAGUAGGGAAUCUUCGGCAAUGGGCGGAAGUCGGACCGGGCAACGCCGCGUGAGUGAAGAAGGUUUUCGGAUCGUAAAGCUCUGUUGUUAGAGAAGCGGUAACUAGCCAGAAAGGGACGGCUAACUACGUGCCAGCAGCCGCGGUAAUUC